CCUACGGGUGGCAGCAGUGGGGGAUAUUGCACAAUGGGGGAAACCCUGAUGCAGCGACGCCGCGUGGGUGAAGAAGUAUUUCGGUAUGUAAAGCCCUAUCAGCAGGGAAGAAAGAAGACGGUACCUGACUAAGAAGCCCCGGCUAACUACGUGCCAGCAGCCGCGGUAAUACGUAGGGGGCGAGCGUUAUCCGGAUUCACUGGGUGUAAAGGGAGCGUAGACGGCCGUGCAAGCCAGGAGUGAAAGCCCGGGGCCCAACCUCGGCGCUACCGCCAAAACUAUUAGACUAGAGUGCAGGAGGGGUAAGUGGAAUUCCUAGUGUAGCGGUGGAAUGCGUAGAUAUUAGGAGGAACAUCAGGGGCGAAGGCGACUUACUGGACUGUAACUGACACUGAGGCACGAAAGCGUGGGGAGCAAACAGGAUUAGAGACCCGUGUAGUC
rnacentral:rRNA from 1 species